CCGCUCGCCCCUUCCCAGCCGCUCACCCCGCCCGUCCCGCUUGCCGUGGCCGAUGACCCGCACUCGCGCCCCCUCCCCAACCCUUCCUGCCCCCUCGCGCCGCUGCCCUACUGGCCUCGCCUUUUCCCCCUUUCUCCUCCAGCGUCUCCUCCCCAUCUGCUCCGCUCCACCUCUCCACGGACGCGCCCAAGUCCGAGCGCGCCAAGUUCGCUGGCCUGCGCACGCGCCUGCACCGGCUCCGCUUCGUCCAGCCCGCACUACGCUGGGUCGCCUCCUCUUGCACCACGCAGGCUCCGCUGCUCCCGACCGUGCCCCUGCACAUGCCCUUGCAGCGGCUGCGCGCCCACGGGCCGCCCGCAGUGCCCCCCGCUCGGUCAUCGGCACCCUCCGUCCGGCUCCGCUUCUGCCCAUGCCCCGGCCGGCUCCGCCUCUGCCUCGUGCAGCAUCGAUCACCCCGAGUUCUCUUUCUCUGGCGGGGGAGCUGUUGGCCACGAUCUGGAUGAGCCAGAGUUUAGCAACAGGGGAGGGGUGAAUCAACGGCGGCAGCAGAGAGGGUGGAGAGAAUUGCAAAGCCUAGGCGCCCAUCACCAUGGCUUUCUCGUCGUUCGCGUGCCACCAUCGCAGUCGUUAUUGGAGCUUUGAAAAGUCUGCCCUCUUCUCUUACUUCGUGCCGUUGCUCCUCCGAUCUCAGUGAAGCUGCAGCCUCACACACUUCAGGUUCAUGGGUCAGGCGACGCACAUGGGCGUGUCUGCUAAGAAGGCCACUCGGUGGGUGAUGAAGUGAUGCAGUCAACGGCAACCAGCGACCUCAGAGCCCCCCCCCCCCCCCCCCCCCCCCCCCCCCCUUCUCCGCCUCGUCACUGUCUCCACCUAGCUUGACCUCGAGCCGAAGAGCGACUCGGCAGGACGCCGGGGGACAGGUGCAGCAGCCAGCCGCGCCUCGCCCCGUGCUCUGCAGGCUCCCGUAGGCCUCGACCCGGCCUCGACAGGAGGAGCUCGAGCCGACUCGGCAGAAGGAGUAUAGCAGCAGACAUGCCCGUGAGUUUCUCUCUCUAAUCCCCUUGAAACUACAUUCCCGAUCUGGAGCGGGAGGCCAGGGAUGCCUCGUAUGUGUCUCCGUAAUUUUCUUCUCAGUUUGACAAGGAAUAUGCCUAUGGUACUCUUCUGAUUUUGGGUGUAGAUUCUGAUUUUGUUGGCAAAACAAUGGCAGAUUUCUCCAUUAGCUUAUAUGAUUUGGGGCUGAUUUUCCUUGUGUGAUUCCUGUUCAUGGCCUUGCUGUGGGAGAUUGCAAAAGUGAAGUGAAUUAAGUGUGAAAAAAUAGCAGGAGCAAUGCCUGGGCUGUAGAUUUCUCCAUUAGUUUAGUCAUGGCUAAUAUGAACUUCUCUAUUAUAUUACUUAUGGAUUGUUCAGUAAAAUGAAACCUCAUGGUGUGGCAUGUCACCUCCCUUGCACAUAUACUUGUACCCAAUUUAGGCCAUCAGUAGAACUGUCUAUAUUGUACAGGUCAACUAAUACACAGCACCCCGGCGGCCGGUGCAUACAUAUAACUGCACGCACACACAGCGCCACCUGACUCCUAUUUCUUCAGUGCAGCACCGUGACAUGGCCAUACUCUGUAUGGACACAGUGGCAGAUUACAAACUCUGUGCAAUAGUGGAUCUAAUAAACAAGAUGUCUUAGGUUUGAAAGCAACAUGCAGAUAAGGAGAUAACUUUGGAUAUGUUAUUAUCUUUACCAUUAUACGUAUAUAAUUUCUUAAUGUACGAUGGAGCUGACCUCACGGGUUGACUGACGGCGACACGAAAGUUGGAGGGAGCCAACCAUCUCUACGGCCCAUGCUCCUCUUGCCAACGAUGACCGCGCCGUGAACCAGGGCUGCCGCUCGAGCUCCUCCUGGGUCCAGGUCAUGCUAUGUUUUAGUGCUCAUGGAGUUCCUCUGGCAUACGUUGGUUCUGGUGAUCCGUAUAAAACAUAGAUGGAAGACUAUGGAUCUUAUCAUGGAUGAGCUCAAAGAUACAGGAAUCUCAAAUCCAUGUAUACAUCAAUCACACUCAUACCCGCUAUGUCACAUAAGCAACUUCAGUUGUCCUUCGCUUGUGAAUUCACCAUCCAAAUAUUUUUGUUUUAUUGGAGAGCACAUAAAAUAUUUGGAGAAUCAAAGGUGAAUGUAAAUAAAACACUCACUGUAUGUUUGCAUGCACAUGAUCAGUACCUCCAUUUUCCUUUGUAGUAAUACUAAGAUACAAACAUUAUUUGUGUUCACUUUUUGGCCAUUUCAUACCUAUGUCGUCAAGAUUCUGUUCUGAUGUAGAAUAUUCAGUUUAGUUUGGCCUGCAUUUGUCCCAGAGAGCGAGUGUUCACAGGUCCAGUGCUUAUGUAAGUUAUUAUUUAGUCAAGCUUAUGUAAGUUAUUAUUUAGUCAAGAUUCCGUUCUGAUGCAUAAUAGCUAAUAACUUGCCUCUUAAGUUGUCUCUACAAACUAAAAUUUGAACUUUAAAACUUAUCUAGCCAUAGUUUUUGCAGCAAGAAUAGCAUGACUUAUUUUAUCUCCUUUUCGAGCUGGAACACUUGGCUAUUGUGAUUUUUCUUUGUAGACUUUCCUAUACUAUACAAAAUGUAUGUUGUGGAGAAAUUAUAAACUGCGUUACAAAUUGUUGUAAUGUUGUGUAGAAACUGAACAGGGACAAGCACAUGAAAUUAUAUGUUGUGGUAGAUUUCAAAAGAGACCCAGGGCCCAGAGUAGUUUUGCAAAAAUGGAGGAUACCAGACUGACCCAUGGAGCAUGAGAUCCUCCUUGUCAGGGGCCACCUUACUUGUAUGGCUUCAGGCUGAGGAGACCCUUCUAAUUAAGAAGAUUUGUGCUGCUGCUAUUGCGUUCUUCAGUUUCUGGUCAUUGGUUCAUCUGCAAAUGUGUGGACCUCACUCCCUUUUGCUCGAUUGCUCCACCUUGCUCCUUUGGCUGAUUAUAAUAGCUAUUUCCGCAGCCCAUGACGAUGGUUGAGGUUAGUCUUUCAGCAUAUGUUCUCUUCAUUACAUGUCCUUUAAAUUGCAGGAUAGGCCCUUACAAAUAAGUUAAUUAACUACAUGUCUGCAUUAAUAUAUUUUCCUGAUGGGUUUCCCUACUAUGGCUCAUGGUCAUAGAUGUAGUUUGCAUUUGCUGCUGUUGUUUCUCUCAAUAUUUCUAUCCCACUAUACUGUAUGUGUUCUAAAUCUACCGGUAUAUGAAAGAUGAUUAUCUCCAUUAUUAUUGUUCGUACAACCCUUUUUAUCCAAGAUUCAAAACACCUAACACGUGCCCUUUUUUAAGUAUCUUUAAUGCAGUCUAUUGGUUCUUAACUUACUACCAACUACUAGCGAAGAUAGCUUUCUGAAAUAAGCAUGCUAAGCAUGAACAUUGUUCUACUCACGGGAAGAACUCUCAGGUGAUGAUAGGUCAUGGUUCUUUACCAUUUCCUUUACAAAAUUGGUUGAAUCUUGUAAUUCUAAGUUAGUAUCAAGUCCUAUAUACCUUUCUGUUUGUAUAAAUUCACAACUUUCAUGGAAGCUCUCGAAUUGCGAGUAUUAAUCUCAGGUUGUUGGGUACGUUUGCUGGUAGUAUGCUGCCAUGCAUCCACUGAGCAAUUUUCUUGUGAUUUUACUUGUGAUGACACAUUUCUAAUCUUUCUCUUUGGGAUACUGAAAUAUGGAUUGCCUUGGGAAAUAUCUGAGAUAGGAUCCAUGCUACUUUAUUUGAAUUGUUUUUGUGUUUGCACCCUUAUUUUGAUUUUAGUUACCAUGUUCUCUUUCUUUUGGUUGCUCACAUGUGUUUUUUGUCGCUAUUCUCCAUCUAGAGAUCCAGGCAGCGUCCAGAUUGCUGUUAUCAUCCUCCAUCAACAAAACCAUGGGGUCCUUGUGGGAGCUGCAUACAAAGUUACAAACCCGUGUGGAUGUAUUUGGUUGGUAGCUGCAACAGCCUGCCAAUCGGAUAAGAGAAGCCAAGGGGCCAUCAGCGAUGGUGUAGCUUCAGCAUCCUGUCAAUUGGAGGAGAGGCCAAGGAGUCAUCGGCAAGAAGCAACCUUAUCCUGGAACUUGAAGUGGAGUAAUGGUUAACAAUGUUUUAGGGAUCAUAUGUUUUCUUUUGUUCACACUUGAGAGCAACAAGCAUUAAGAUGUUACGAUAAAUUAUGUACCAAAGUUUGCUUUGUCCGUGGUCAUAUCUAUGUGUGUUAAUUUAUUUUCCUACAGUCAUAUCGAUGUUAUUAUCCCUAUGAGUUGUCCCCUUUGUUCUAUAGUAGCGUAAUCAGAGCGAGAAAUUUAAAUGUGAUUGAA